UGCAGAGUUUUCCCAUAAUUUUUCGCAGUGUCGGUCUCCGUUUACAUCCGUAACUUUCUUGAUUUGCCAUGAAUAACGUCAAAAAGAAACCCUGUAUAAACACCGCCAAUGCCGUUUCUGAAGGCAGUGUACCGCCGUUGGAGGGCCUGCCACUUCCAGAAGCCAUUAUUUUCAGCCAAAAUUUUUAGUAAACUAGAUUUGGAAUCACUUUGUUCCCGGGCUUGCGUUUCCCGGGGAUUCCGUUCAAUCGUUUCUCAAGCUCUUUCAACUCUCCCCUGUCUUGAUCUCUAUGCUGUUUCACUGACUGGCGAGAUUCUGGAUUGGAUUAUCCCGAAAUUUAGAGGUUGAAGUCUCCGGUUGGAUGAGUCCUCAGUGACCAACAUUCUUGGGCCACAUCUCCAAGAAUUGAAUUUGCUCAACUCACUCUCCUAUGACAUUCUUUCAUCUAUUGGUAAAAGGCGCCCCAAUUUAAGGAGAUACAUCACCUAAAAUUUUCAAGAACCUUAUAGAAAUUUUGAAAGGCAUUCUCAGUUUGGAGUCUAUCCAUAAAAGUCCUUGGAAUAGAGCUUGAUGCAUAUGAUUUAACUGCCAUUGAUCUCUUCCUACCCCAGACUCUCGAACUUCUUAAAUUACAGCCUGUGAAUGAGUAAGAUGCUAUUCUGUUUACAGAAGUACUUGGAGAAGGAAAAAAUAAUCCGGGACGCUUGGUCAAUUUUGCCAUGCACUCAAAUUUUGGACACACUGUUUUUUACACUGCUGCAUUUGACACUUGUCCUGAAUGUCAGAUCUGAUGAACUUAUAAUCUUAAUUGCCAAUUCGCUUCCAUUUUUAGUUGAGCUGGAUCUUGAAGACGGAACAAGCAUCGAACCAAAACUGCCUCAUGACUUCACUAACGCUGGGCUACAAUCUCUAGGCUUGUUUCAGCAUCUCACCUCUCUGUCAAUUGUAGGCAGUAUACUGAAUUUUCCAGUGUCUUUUAAAAGAGUAAAUGGUUUGGGCUUAAUGCUUCUUUCUUAAGAGUUGCAGAGGCCUUGAGUCUGUGAGACUUGGUGGGUUUUCUACGGUUAGUGAUGCAGGGUUUUCGUCCAUUUUAUGCUCUUGCUAUAAUUUGAAGAAAUUUGAAGUUUGCAAUGCACCGCUAAUGUCAGACUUGGCUUUUCAUGACACCAAUGAGGUCGUCUCUCCUCUUACUGAUCUGAGAAUCUUGUCGUGCAACCUCAUAAUUAGCAAAGCUGUGGCUGAACUUGCUGCAUCUACUGUAUUGGAGUGCUUGUUCUUAUGGUUGCAGGAGCAUCGCCAACCCCUGUCUCGACUUCAUAUCACUCCUUAGUACACUAACCACGCUAAACCUAGGAGGAGCUGAUAUCACAUUGACAAUGGUCUUGCUGUUUUGGGUAAAGGGGACUUACUGAUGAACAUUUGAGUCUAGAGGAUGUGUGAGAGUCACUGAUGGAGGAAUAUUCUCCGUACUCAAUGUUGGGGAGAAAAUCAAGAUGACGUUAUCAUCUCUAGAUAUUGGUCACAUGCCAGGAAUAUUAGAUAGAGGUAUCAAAAGCUUCAAAACAAUUGUUUCUAGCUCGAGCAAUUACUGAGCCAUAUAUGAGGGAGCAAUUACUGAGCCAUAUAUGAGGACAGUUCGUUUCGUGGCUUGCGAUGGCUUGGAUUUGGCAGCACUUCUUUGGUUACUGCAAGGGAUAAUUACAGAGUAAUAUGCA